AGUUCCAGUUGGCUCUGCUCAGCUCUGUGCUCCUUAAGCAGCACUGUAGAGCCUUGUUGUUUAAGCUUCCGGUAUUUCAAGAAUUCACUUAUGCAUAUUUAUGUCUAACGAAAAUAGGAGCUUCCACCCCAAGAAUGUUGGAGGAGUACGGAAGACAUAAUGGGAUCCAGUCUGGAGCCCUGAAGAGCGUUCCCUGAAUACUGACUUAAGUGAGAUGGCAGUGUUUGAAGUUUGAUGAAGCCAUGGACCGAGCAUCUCGGGUGGGUAAGAACAACGUGGAGAAGAGUCAUGAGGAAGUGUAGGUUAUACAUCAAAGGUGCACGGAUCCUGACUUCACCUGAACAAACCACGGAAAGACCGGUGGCGCAUAAACCUGGAGAAGCUGGCAGGGACCAGAAUCUCCCUGAGGCCAGAGGCAUGAUCUAGAGACUGCAGUGUCAGGCAAAUUGAAGUCUCCUGAGAGGGUGGAGCUGGCCCCCUCUUCCCUGAGCUCUCAGUGGAAGAUCAGGAGGAUUUCCUUAAGUGGAUGCACCCGGCUUGCUUGCCCACCUUGAAGCCCUUAGUGAUGGCCUGAAGUUUUCAGCAGCAGCAGCAGAAGCAGCAGACUGGACUCCAGUCAGACAGCCUUUUAUCUCAGAGUAUCUUGUUGCUGGGGCACAGGGGCCUCGAGGGGAGGGAGGGGUAGAGUCGGAUGUCCGGCAUUCAGCACAGAGGAGCUCAUACCCAGCUCCUCACAGCCUGGGUCUCCAUUCACUGAGAGGAACACUCAACAAAGGCCACAUUCUUCUCCUGGCUUCCGCUUGCUUUCAGCCCACAUUUAUUUCCGAACAUGGUUACCCAGCCGGUCUGGCAUCCCACACUUAUGUGUGUCUGGGCAGACAACUAUGGAGACGUCAUCCUGGAUGAUCAUGGCCCCCAAACAAGGAUGGAGUCUACUGCAACUGAAUCUCAAGUACCCUCAAGGCUCUGUGUCUGGAGACCUCCCUGCAGUGUGAACGUUCCCCUGGUUAGGUCAGUGAGGAAGCUUUGCAACAACACUCUGCUGUUCUCACAUUGGGAGAUGACAGGACAGAGAGAGCCUCCGCCCUGGAUUCCUCUACCCAGAUGUAACGGGUUUAGGGUCACCAUGACAACACACCUCUAGUUGUGUCUGUGAGGGUACUUCUAGAGAGGUUUAGCUGAGGACAGGAGACCUCUGGAUGUGCAUCACACUGCCCUAGGGUCUGGGCCCCAGAAUGGACAAAAGGAGAUGAGCAGAACAUUCUCUUCUUCCUAGCUGUGAACACAGUGUGGCCAGUCAGUCACCGCCCACCCUGGUGUUGACACCAGAACUUCCCUGGUAUGAUGGGCUCACCCUCAGACUGUACACUGAAGUAGGCCUUUCCUUCCUUCUGCUCACGUGUUAGUUAUUUGGCCAAAACAGUAGGACAAAUGACUGGCACAGAGUUUGAAAAGCCCGUGCUGGAGCUGCCACCCAGGGAUCAUGAUAGGGAGGCAGAGCAGGUGUGACUCUGACCUGCUGGGUAGUUGGACAUGCGCCUUAGCAACUGUCAGACUCGCAGUGACCAGUGGUAAGAGCAGAAGAUGCCCACAGUUUGGAGAUUUGGGUGAGAAUUCACCGAGGGCAUGGUCUGUGUGAGAGAGUACGGUGCAGGCCCUGGAUCUGGUCUUGUAGUGGGACCUCUCGCCCUCCCCUCUUGGAGCUGCCUUGCCUCCAUGUAAGCUUUCAACUUUCUCCUGAAGUGUUCACUCACGACCUUUCAUGUAAUUUCUCUCCCCUAACGCCCAUCCACAGCUUCGAGGGUGGUGUCUCCAUGGGGAUAAAUGAAUGAGGUGUUUUAAUUGUUCUUUCCUUGUGUUUAAAAACAAAACUACCAAUGAUCUUAUCAACUUGGUGUGGGAAGGUGUGUAAGCAGAAAACGGUCAUUGUCAGCUCACCAGUACACCAUGCCCACAAGCUUGGCAUUCACAUUGGUGAGGCAGAAGCCAGAGAACUGUCGUGGGGUCUAGCCUGGGAUCUAUAGUGAGUGCCGAGGUUGUAUGGGCUAAAAUGAGUCACUGUCUUUAAACAAACAAACAAGCAAAAACAAAUAAACAAGCAAACAUAAAAGCAGA